GGUGGUAUAGCUCAGUGUAGAGCACUUGCCUAGCAUGCAGGAGGGUUUGGGUUCCAUCCCCAGCACCACAA
rnacentral:tRNA from 1 species